rnacentral:rRNA from 1 species
GCGCGAAAACUUUACAAUGCUGGCAACAGCGAUAAGGGAACCUCGAGUGCCAGGUUACAAAUCUGGCUGUCGAGAUGCCUAAAAAGCAUUUCAUAGCAAGGGCCGGGCAAGACCGGUGCCAGCCGCCGCGGUAACACCGGCGGCUCGAGUGGUAACCGUUAUUAUUGGGUCUAAAGGGUCUGUAGCCGGCCGGAUAAGUCUCUUGAGAAAUCUGGCAGCUUAACUGUCAGGCUUUCAGGAGAUACUGUCUGGCUCGAGGCCGGGAGAGGUGAGAGGUACUUCAGGGGUAGGGGUGAAAUCUUGUAAUCCUUGAAGGACCACCAGUGGCGAAGGUGUCUCACCAGAACGGACCUGACGGCAAGGGACGAAAGCGUGGGGAGCAAACA